rnacentral:rRNA from 1 species
UGGGGAAUAUUGGACAAUGGACCGAGAGUCUGAUCCAGCAAUUCUGUGUGCACGAUGAAGUUUUUCGGAAUGUAAAGUGCUUUCAGUUGGGAAGAAAGAAAUGACGGUACCAACAGAAGAAGUGACGGCUAAAUACGUGCCAGCAGCCGCGGUAAUACGUAUGUCACGAGCGUUAUCCGGAUUUAUUGGGCGUAAAGCGCGUCUAGGUGGUUAUAUAAGUCUGAUGUGAAAAUGCAGGGCUCAACUCUGUAUUGUGUUGGAAACUGUAUAACUAGAGUACUGGAGAGGUAAGCGGAACUACAAGUGUAGAGGUGAAAUUCGUAGAUAUUUGUAGGAAUGCCGAUGGGGAAGCCAGCUUACUGGACAGAUACUGACGCUGAAGCGCGAAAGCGUGGGUAGCAAACAGGAUUAGAUACCCUGGUAGUCCACGCUGUAAACGAUGAUUACUAGGUGUUGGGGGUCGAACCUCAGCGCCCAAGCAAACGCGAUAAGUAAUCCGCCUGGGGAGUACGUACGCAAGUAUG